rnacentral:rRNA from 1 species
GGGAUUGCCUUAGUAACGGCGAGUGAAGCGGCAACAGCUCAAAUUUGAAAUCUGGCUCCUUCGGGGUCCGAAUUGUAAUUUGUAGAGAGUGCUUCGGGCGAGGCCUCGGUCUAAGUCCAUUGGAACAUGGUGUCAUAGAGGGUGAGAAUCCCGUAUGCGACCGUGGCUCGAGCCCAUGUGAAGCCUCUUCGACGAGUCGAGUUGUUUGGGAAUGCAGCUCAAAAUGGGUGGUAAAUUUCAUCUAAAGCUAAAUACUGGCUGGAGACCGAUAGCGCACAAGUAGAGUGAUCGAAAGAUGAAAAGCACUUUGGAAAGAGAGUCAAACAGUACGUGAAAUUGUUGAAAGGGAAGCGCUUGCAACCAGACCUGCCCGUAGGCGAUCAGCCGCUGUUUUCAGCGGUGCACUCGCUCUGCGAUCAGGCCAGCAUCGGUUUCGGCGGUCGGAUAAAGGCCUUGGGAAUGUAGCUCCCCUCCGGGGGAGUCUUAUAGCCCUCGGUGCAAUGCGGCCAGCCGGGACCGAGGACCGCGCUUCGGCUAGGAUGCUGGCGUAAUGGUUGUAAGCGACCCGUCUUGAAACACGGACCAAGGAGUCUAACAUCUAUGCGAGUGUUUGGGUGUCAAACCCAUGCGCGGAAUGAAAGUGAACGGAGGUGAGAACCCUUUAAGGGCGCAUCAUCGACCGAUCCAGAUGUCUUCGGAUGGAUUUGAGUAUGAGCAUAGCUGUUGGGACCCGAAAGGUAAUUUGAACUCCCCUCUUGUUUAUAAGAAUCAUAUGCUAACUUUUCCAAAAGAUGGUGAACUAUGCCUGAAUAGGGUGAAGCCAGAGGAAACUCUGGUGGAGGCUCGCAGCGGUUCUGACGUGCAAAUCGAUCGUCAAAUUUGGGUAUAGGGGCGAAAGACUAAUCGAACUA